rnacentral:lncRNA from 1 species
AGAAUUAGAUAGGUAUAUGUAUUAUUAAUAGAGGGGAGUCAAUACAAUAGAAAUUGGAGGUUAUAGAUUCUUCAGAGAUUUAAGAAGUUUGUAUAUGGUAGUUAAUAUGAGCAUGACCUUCAAAUUAAAUCAAAGAUUAAUAUAUCAUUUGAAAGAUAUCAAAGAGAUUACUAUAUAUUCACCUAAGAGUUUUAAUUAUUCAAAAGGUGAUAAAAAUUUUGUAGAUUCAUUAGCAAGUUGUAUUAAUUAAAGAGUUGGUGAAUAAAGAUUAACUUCACAAUAGAGACAAUGUUGAAUAUGGAUUUUAUGUGUGACACAAUAAGUAUUGUUAGUACUAAGAAAUGAUUUGUUGACAAAGUGCCAAGUGAGAGUACUACUUACAACUAAGCAUAUUCUUUGAUAAACUAGAUAAACUAGAAGUUAAAAUAAUAAGGUACUAGAUGGAUUGAUCUCAAGAAAAAUUGGAAGAAAAAUAAGCUUUAUUGGAAGUGCUAGCUCAAACCUAACUAAAUAAUAAAAUAUUGGAUCUUUGUAGAGCUCUACAUCCAUAGUUUUUAAAGUAG